GGACCUCGGCCUUUUGGCUAAGAUCAAGUAUAGUAUCUGUUCUUAUCAGUUUAAUAUCUGAUACGUCCCACAUCGGGGGACUACAUAUUAAAUGCUCCCAAGUGGUGCAACGGUCU
rfam:Salmo salar isolate Sally breed double haploid chromosome ssa21, whole genome shotgun sequence.